AGAGUUUGAUCAUGGCUCAGAUUGAACGCUGGCGGCAUGCUUUACACAUGCAAGUCGAACGGCAGCGCAGGGCAACCUGGCGGCGAGUGGCGAACGGGUGAGUAAUAUAUCGGAACGUACCCAAGAGUGGGGGAUAACGCAGCGAAAGUUGCGCUAAUACCGCAUACGAUCUAAGGAUGAAAGCAGGGGACCGCAAGGCCUUGUGCUCCUGGAGCGGCCGAUAUCUGAUUAGCUAGUUGGUGAGGUAAAGGCUCACCAAGGCGACGAUCAGUAGCUGGUCUGAGAGGACGACCAGCCACACUGGAACUGAGACACGGUCCAGACUCCUACGGGAGGCAGCAGUGGGGAAUUUUGGACAAUGGGCGCAAGCCUGAUCCAGCAAUGGCCGCGUGAGUGAAGAAGGCCUUCGGGUUGUAAAGCUCUUUUGUCAGGGAAGAAACGGCUGUGGCUAAUAUCCACGGCUAAUGACGGUACCUGAAGAAUAAGCACCGGCUAACUACGUGCCAGCAGCCGCGGUAAUACGUAGGGUGCAAGCGUUAAUCGGAAUUACUGGGCGUAAAGCGUGCGCAGGCGGUUUUGUAAGUCUGACGUGAAAUCCCCGGGCUUAACCUGGGAAUUGCGUUGGAGACUGCAAGGCUAGAAUCUGGCAGAGGGGGGUAGAAUUCCACGUGUAGCAGUGAAAUGCGUAGAGAUGUGGAGGAACACCGAUGGCGAAGGCAGCCCCCUGGGUCAAGAUUGACGCUCAUGCACGAAAGC
rnacentral:rRNA from 1 species